UACGGGGGGGGCAAGCGUUGUUCGGAAUUACUGGGCGUAAAGGGCUCGUAGGCGGCCAACUAAGUCAUACGUGAAAUCCCCCGGCUUAACCGGGGAACUGCGUCUGAUACUGGAUGGCUUGAGUUCGGGAGAGGGAUGCGGAAUUCCAGGUGUAGCGGUGAAAUGCGCAGAUAUCAGGAAGAACACCCGUGGCUAAGGCGGCUCUCUAGUACGGUACUGACGCUGAGACGCGAAAGCGUGGGGAGCGAACAGG
rnacentral:rRNA from 1 species